AAGCAGUCUGGCCUCCCAAGACAGCCCUCAUUGAGCUGUUGAGGUUAACGACAGCACACGCGGAGCCGAGGCCAUCCUCUUGAGUGUUGGCCCAACACAACACUCAGUCUGGUGCCAAGGUUAAGAGUGAUGACUGCGUGAGUGGCGCUGCUUCCCUCAGUGCCUCGGUGGUUAGUGACGCAGAGGACCUGAGGGACACCAUUUUGUAGGAACAAAUAUUGUGUCUGGCUCUCCUCGGCUUGUUGCGGGUGUCGUCACGCUGCCUCACUGCUACACGCAAACCCUCAGUGAGCCAAGGCGCUGCAGGUCUGCUUGCUGCCUUAGUUACUAAAGGAGCACACGCAUCCAGACAACUCAUAAAAUUAGUAUUAAAAUAUCAAGUUGUAGAUCAGCGUGGCCUGUGGUCAGUAUUUGAUCAAAGUGAUGGGGUUCUGGCAGGAGUAGCUCACAAAGCGUCCUUGUUAUAUUUACCAAGGUGACCAAAAGAUUUUAGUUCAUGCUCUCUCCGUCUUCUUGAUAUUUAUUGUAAUGCCAAUUAGGUCAUGAUCAGGUGCUGGCCCGGGAACAACAGAGGUGGCCAAAACACUUUCUGGUUUAUUAGUGAUGAUCACAUCCAGCACUGUGGCUGUGCUUGACGUCAUCCUAGUGGGCUCAUUUAUCAUUGGUGUGAGUCUGAUAUUUCUGAUAAUACCAUCAAUUUUGUUUUUCUUAGAAAAUAAACCAUCAUUAAAAUCA